rnacentral:lncRNA from 1 species
AUAGAUUUCAACAUAGCACAGGCUCUUUAUGCCAGACUUUGGGUCAUCAUGUUUACUUAGGCAGUACUCAAUGAAAUAUUUUAGAGAAGCCAUACAAAGGGCCAUGGAACAACACUAGCCUAUGACCUUGAGUCGCUCUCCCACGUCCCUACCCCCACUAGAAGCCAAAGAUAUAAUUUACUACAUAGAGAAGGUCAGACUGAAGAGCAGCCCCUCACACUUCUAAUCGUUAAGCCAACAGCAAGCAGCAUGACUCAGUUGCUUCCACGUUCUUGGCUGUGUUGCUAGUGUGGCAGGAGAGGAGGUCCAGCAGAACUUGUCUUCAUGAUGGAGAUGGUAAGAGCAUGGUCUCUGCUUACUUCACAAAGCUAGGUGCUUCAUCAGUUACGAUGUGACAUGGAAGGACUGGAGAGUACCAGCAAGGAACCAAGGACAUUGGUUGAAAGGGAAAGGCCAGCAUCCUCCAGACAGAUGGUAGCAGACACACAGUGUGAACACAAUGGAAAAGGCAGGUCCUAGAACCACUUCGGGUAUAUGCAACAACACAGAUCCAAUCACUUUCACAGCAGUGACAUUACUGACAGGUCAAGGUGCACUGCUGUUGGCAGUGGUCAGGACUUGGUCCUUGUCUACAAGGAUAGCAGAAAGGAGGCAGAGAACACGGAAGAAAGGACAACUGCCUUGGCUGAGAGGUGAUGGGUGAGCCUGCAGAGGGCUGGUGGAAGGUUUGAACUGUGAGGUUGGGCUAAACCAGUGAUCCCAAGAUGACUCUCCUGCCCAGGUCCUGGCAGAAG